rnacentral:rRNA from 1 species
AACGAACGCUGGCGGCAUGCCUAACACAUGCAAGUCGAACGGGAUCCUGACUUCGGUCAGGUGAGAGUGGCGGACGGGUGAGUAACGCGUGGGAACCUGCCCAGUGGUGGGGGAUAACUGCGGGAAACUGCAGCUAAUACCGCAUGAGCCCGAGAGGGGAAAGAUUUAUCGCCAUUGGAGGGGCCCGCGUUCGAUUAGGUAGUUGGUGAGGUAACGGCUCACCAAGCCUUCGAUCGAUAGCUGGUCUGAGAGGAUGAUCAGCCACACUGGGACUGAGAUACGGCCCAGACUCCUACGGGAGGCAGCAGUGGGGAAUAUUGGACAAUGGGGGCAACCCUGAUCCAGCAAUGCCGCGUGAGUGAUGAAGGCCUUC